UCUCAUCGCGCACAGACACACACGCUUUGCUUUUUCCGCCGCGUGCCGUCCCCGCAGCAUCCUCUCCUUCGCCUGUUGCUCGCACACCGCUGCACACCGUCUCUUCUCUAGCCUGGAUCACCCCGGGCCUCCUCCCCCACCCCUCACCCCUUACGGCCUCAGCUCGUCGCCUCCUCUUCCCAUUACAACGUCGCGCCGCCACAUCCUCUCCCCACCAUGGGUUUGCCUCACCGCCAAUUCUUCCGCCGUCGUGUCUCAGCGCAGAUCAAGGUGCGAGCCGCUGGACACGAUGAGGGAGUGGGCAUCUCAGAGCAGACCGGAUCCACUGCAUCUAUGCGAGCACCUCAUGCUUAGGAGGCGCCAGAUGGAGCGGAUUCGCGCCCUCGUCAAGGGACAUGGAGCUCGGGACGCCGCACUAUCUUCUUCGUCUUCUUCUCGGAACGCCGUGCCGCCAUGGAAGGUCUCCCUUUUCCUCCCUCCCCCUCUUCAUCUUUCUCGUUUCGAUUUGGUACGGUGCUAUUCUUCGUUUCCUUCCAUCCCUGAUGUGGUUCCUCGCGCCUCUCUUUCGAUGUGUAGUUGAGAUGGUAGAUCUAGCAUCCAUACUGGCUUUACAUACAACAUAGACAAGCGACUUUUUCAAAUAAAUAUUGCUUGGGUAUAUUUGUUUCUGGAUUUGGAUUCUGGGUGGCUUAAUUUGUCAGUAUCAGCUAGCUCUAAUUGAUGUUGAGUUGUUGCUUUUUGUGGCAGUUGCAUGAUUUGAGUGCUAUUCUCACGUUGUAAUGUCGCAUUAUUACUUGCACUUAGGGUCCGUUCGGUUUCCCUCCCGGAGCGGACGGAGCUGUAGUAGAAAAUGUUGGAGCGAUCAAACAGGUGCUCCACAGAUCCUUGGAUUUUAAGGAGCUGGUGGAUUGCCGAACAGGGCCUUAGUAACCGAGAGUUCUAGGGUGACAACCAAGUUAGUAUCUGCACUUUUUGUAUUAGAAAUGCAUGUAACUCCAUCAAUUGACAUCUGAACUUUGUUGAUGCUUAUGCCAUUGUAUGCACAACAGGCAUGCCUUCAGCACAUCGUCAUUCGUUUGUGGAAAAUUGUUAGUGAAACACAUACAUGUAUGCUAUCUAUCCACUUCUUUCCAUGCGUGCGGUAACAUUUUUGUUGUUCAUAUCCACAAAUUGUGAAGCAUUUCUCUACUAUAUGCAACGUAGUGAAAUGUAUUGCCCCGAGCUCCACUAUUUAGGCCAGAUCUCAUGAGAGCUUUAAUGCAGGAACAAAUAUACCACCAGUUUUGUUAAUCAAAUGUGGCUCAGGAUUGCUAUGUAGUGAAAAAAUGAACAUAAUAGCAUACCAAAUGUACCGUGUUAAGCAGAAAUUCUCUGAGUUAUAUAAGUAGGCUUACCCAUCCGUCUGAAGUCUGCUCUGAAUAUAUUCUUCUCUUUUCCAUGUUGUAACAUUUAG
rnacentral:lncRNA from 1 species